AGACAACAGUCUAACAAUAAUCUUGUACUAACUCGUCUAAUAUCAGGAUCGAUCACAAUGAGCAAAUUCACUGAUGUGGCCAGUAGAGUCGGUUCCGGAUUUAUAUGGUUUUUGAUUCUAAUUUGCCUCAGUUGGCCUUUCGCAUUUCCCGCUACUUUGCUAUACGUUCUAACGCUGCCCUUUGCGGGACGCUCUGAAAUAACCAGGACAAUAAGUAAUAACUUACUCCGUUUUGUGCAACUUCCAUUGAGAUGUGCAAACAAUAUGUUUGCAUGUGCACCACUCUGUAACUCAGAAUGUGAUGGGUAGUAUGCAUACGAUUUAUACUUUGCUGAUCGAUAAAAUGGCGCAAUACUUUAAAUGCCUUUUUACUCUCCAACGACUAUUGCCAGGAAAAAAAACUGUAAUAAUUGAUCGAUGUUUAAUAAGGUAUUGCUGUACAUUGUUGUCUAAUAAUUGAAAUAUAAACGCAAUUAAAUGUUAAAACAA